CAGGCUGACCGGAUGACCGCGGUGGUGUCAUACCAUCGAGGAAAGUCCGCACUCCACAGAGCAAGGUGCCGGGUAACACCCGGGACGGGGCAACCUGACGGAUCGGGCUAAAGAAAUAAACCGCGCCUCACCCAUGGGUGAGGUGUAAGGGUGAAAAGGUGGUGUAAGAGACCACCGGCGCAGGCGGUAACGUCUGCGGCCAGGCAACCCCCACCUGGAGCAAGGUCAAGCAGAGGCAAUCCCGCAAGGGAGGUGGCUGCUCGUCACCUGGAUCGCAAGAUCCGCAACCUCGGGUAGACUGCACGAGGCGCGGGAAAACUCGCGCUCUAGAGAGAUGGUCAUCGGCGCAGGGAGACUUGCGUGCACAGAAUGCGGCUUACAGGCUGGCCUGGGGA
rnacentral:RNase_P_RNA from 2 species